rnacentral:rRNA from 1 species
UACGUAGGGUGCAAGCGUUGUUCGGAAUUACUGGGCGUAAAGGGCGCGUAGGCGGGCUCGUAUGUCGAUUGUGAAAGCCCUGGGCUUAACCCGGGAAUGGCAGUCGAAACUGCGAGUCUUGAAUGCUUGAGAGGAUGGCGGAAUUCCCGGUGUAGAAGUGAAAUUCGUAGAUAUCGGGAAGAACACCUGAGGCGAAGGCGGCUAUCUGGCGAUGCAUUGACGCUGAGGCGCGAAAGCGUGGGGAGCGAACAGG